rnacentral:rRNA from 1 species
AUGUUGAGAUAUGAUCUCGAGUACCAGCUCCCGGUCAUUUACACCGACGAGGAGGCCUACUGGCGGUUGCGCGGCACCCAACGGUGGGUGCUCUAGGGCGACGGCAACACGGCCUACUUCCAGGCGAUUGCCAACGGCCGGCGUCGUUGCAACUCCAUUCACUCCCUGUGGGCGGGUGAUACUCAGCUUGUUCGACCCUCGGACAUCCGCGCCCACGUAGAUGGCUUCUAUAAAGCCCUUUUCCCCACCCCUCGGGGUGGGGCUGUGCUGGCCCCCGAUACCUGGUCGGGUGCCCAACUUGUUUCCGCCGAGGCCAAUGCCGCUUUAGUGGCGCCUUCAUCGGAGGAGGAGGUCCUUGCGGCGAUCAAAGGAAUGAACCCCUCCUCGGCUCCGGGCCCGAAUGGAUUGCCAAUAUUGUUCUUUAAAACAUUCUAGGAAACCAUCAAACCGGAAGUCAUGGCCCUCUUCGACGAGUUCUUCUCUGGGACCAUGGACCUUGGGCGCGUGAACUAUGGGAUCAUUACCCUUAUCCCAAAGGUUCCUGGGGCCUCGGACAUCCGCCAGUUCCGCCCGAUCACCAUGAUUAACGUGAUCUUCAGGAUCCUAGCCAAAGGGUACACCAAUAGGGUGACCCUUUUUGCGGACUCUAUUACCCACCCCAACCAGUCCGCCUUCAUCCAAGGUCAAUUUAUUUUGGAUGGGGUGUUGGUCUUUCAUGAAGUCCUCCACGAAGUUCGAUCCAAGCACCACCGCGCAGUGUUCCUUAAGCUCGAUUUUCACAAGGCCUACAACACGGUCCACUAG